rnacentral:lncRNA from 1 species
CUUUCCUGAAACCCCACUAAAAUAACAAAAAUUCAUUUUUAAAGGGCAUAAUCUCACAAAAACAGAGAGAGGAGGAGGGGUAAUGAUAGCAGACAAUUCUUGUCCACAAAGUAGUAGAAGCUGGAAAGCCAAUAACCUAGUGGUAAGUGACCUAGAUUUCAGCUUGCUCCGCUCUGCCUAAGUACCUGAAGCAGAAGAAAGCCAGCUAGAAACAAGGGGAGUCAUGAAACCCAGAACACCCCCAACAAUAGAAGAAGUGAAGGCUUCCAAAGGUGUUGGGUUUGCAAGUAGGGUCUCAAACAGUAGAAUCUGUUAAAAGUCUGAAUAAAGAGUUAACAGACAUUUUAGUUCACUCCCUCUGUCUAGGAAGGUAGGUGACUACACAGUGCAGAAGACAGGUGUCCCCCACUGAUAACAGAGACCUCCAUGAGCCUACCUUCUGAAGUGAGAUCGUUUAUUCCCCUUCCCACACUGGGCCCUGAGAGAGCUGACUGUCAGGCUCGCACUCCAUCAUGCAAGAUAGUGAAGAAAUCCUCUGGGGAAACUCUCGAGCUCUAUAAAUAUGGACAGGCAGGGGUCUCAGCCAGACAGCUGGCUCCUGCAUGAUGGCUCCACAAUGAAGCCUGACACCAGGAGAGCUUUGCAUGAAAGCAGAGCUUCAAACCAACAUUUUAGUAUCCCCAAUCUAAUUUAUUUUUAAAUAACCUUCGUUAAAAUUUCCAGAUCAGAUCAAAGACAUCCUGUGUUUCUUUUAUGCAGAUUUCCCAAAUGUUAACAUUUUACUGAAUAUUCAUGAUUGCCGGCUCUGUCUCACUCUUUCCGUGUGUGUGUGUGUGUGUGUGUGUGUGUGUAGGGAAGUAAGGUACUCAUUAUCAUUUACCUUUAAAAAGAAAGCUUCAGGGGAGUUACCGUCAUGGUGCAGCAGAAACUAAUCCAACUAGGAAACAUGAGGGUACGGGUUUGACCCCUGGCCUUGCUCAGUGGGUUAAGGAUCUGGAGUUACCGUGAGCUGUGGUAUAGGUCACAAAUGCAGCUCGGACCUGGCAUUUCUGUGGCUCUGGUGUAGGUCAGCAGCUACAGCUCCAAUUAGACCCCUAGCCUGGGAACCUCAUAUGCUGUGGGUGCGGCCCUAAAAAGACAUACAUACAUACAUACAUAAAAAGAAAGCUUCAGGAGUUCCCACUGUGGCACAGUGGGUUAAGAAUCCAACUACAGUGGCCUGGGUGACUGCAGAGCCACAGGUUUGACCUCCAGCCCUGCACAGUGGAUUAAGGAUCCAGUGUUGCCACAGCUGCAGUCAGUAUAGGUCACGACUGUGGCUCAGAUUCGAUCUCUAGCCCAGGAACUUCCAUAUACCACGGGUGCAGCCAUAAAAUAAAAAUUUUUUUAAAAAAAAAGAAAGCUUCAGACAUGACCUCCUAUCACCCAUAAAUAAUCUAGUGUAAAUUUCCCCCAAACAAGGACACUCACCCAUUCAAAUUUUGCCAACUGUCCAAAACUACCUCUUUUUUUCUUUCCAAUUCAGGGCUGUGCCAAGGAAUAUGUAUUUAAGUUAAUUCAUACAAGUUUCUUCAGAUCCUUUCAACUUAAAACAGAAUUUCUCAGUCUUUGCAGUCCUUAUCAAUUUUGAAAGAGUACGGGUGUCACAAUCUCUAGGGCGAUGCUUACAAGAAGUCUCAGGACCAGGUCAUGUGUCUUUCACAGGAAGGAAUACCAUGGAAAUCAGGGUGUGCUUUUCUCAGAAAAUCCCAGCAGGCUUUUCAAAGUUGGCAAAGAAAGAACAAAAACAAAAGUAUGUAUUGGGAGUUCCCAUCGUAGCACAGUGGAAAUGAAUCUGACUAGGAACCAUGAGGUUGCAGGUUCGAUCCCUGGCCUCACUCAGUGGGUUAAGGAUCUGGUGGUACCGUGAGCUGUGGUGUAGGUCGCAGAUGUGGCUCAGAUCUGGCAUUGUUGUGGCUGUGGUAUAGACCAGCAGCUACAGCUCUUAUUAGACCCCUAGCCUGGGAACCUCCACAUGCAGCAGGUGCAGCCUUAAAAAGACAGGGGAAAAAAAAAAAAAGAAAAAAAAAAAGCAUGUAUUAAAUCUGAGUAAUUUCUAAAACUGAAGCAAGAAAAUGAAACCAGAGUUGAAUACUAUAAAGAAAUGGGAUAAGACAGAGGCUCUCCCCUACCUGCAAGCUAACAAAUCACACACCAGUUUCAUAGACGUCAACAAGACACGAGACUCCUGGAUCAGAGGCAAAGAAUUAUUACUCACAGAACAGCAUGAGCUUCCUAGUCCCUCUGGUCCCCUUGCCAUUCAAGGUCCAAGGGGGUGACAAAGAGUGGCGUGAAUAAAUGCUGCAAUGCAGUGCGUUUCUAUCACAACUGAGAAACUCUGACUUGGGGGAAUCCCAGUCUUUUAUCAUGGACUGAAAGCAAACAUACAUGACCUUUUCCCCAGAAAAGACAUCAUCAUGGCGGACAGCACACAAACCUGUCCUCUGUGCCCGAGGGAGAUGCCAGUGCUGUCUUCCAAGGCUGUUCACUCUUUCUACAUCCCUGAAAUGAUCUUCUCAAACAAAAGCUGUCGGUGCCUCUGCUCAUGAGGUGUGUAGAAAUGCAAAAGCCCAUGGAGAAAAACCCGUAGCCUAUCUCUUCGUGGCUCAUCUCUCAAAACAGUUACAAAAUCGUAAUGGAGGUAACACUGGAUGUUGACCUAACCCAUGAUCAUGACCUAAACAUGUCAAGAAUGGCGAGAAAUGGAAGAGUAAGUUGAGGAGAGCCGAAUGAAACAAAAGACAACAAAUCAUAAUACCCUACAGUGGAAAUAAUUAAAUAACAUCUGGAGUUCCCAUCGUGGCUCAGCGGGUUAAGAACCUCACUAAUGUCCAUGAGGAUGUGGGUUCAAUUCCUGGCCUAAAUCAGUGGGUUAAGAAUUCAGCAUUGUUACAAACUGUGGUGUAGGUCAUGGAUGCAGGCUGAAUCUGCCUGUGGUGUAGGCAAACAGCUGUAGCUCCAAUCUGACCCCUAGCCUGGGAACUUCCAUAUGCUGUGGGUGCAGCCCUAAAAAGCAAAUAAAUAAAAUAUGUAUGUAAUUAUUUUCAUAAAAAUUAAAAUAUAAUUUAAAAAGAAAGAUUUUGGGGCACAAGAGCUUUAUUAUAAAUAUUAGUUCAUGGUUUGAAGCAAUUUAAUCUGCCCCAACUAUCUCUAAGGACCUAAUAGGAAUAUGGGCACCUCAUUUUUUGAGAAAGUGACAUUUAAGGGUAUGAAACUGGUCCCCUUAGCUUAACUAGAUAUUCUCUGAAGGUUUAUAGACUAAGCCCCCAGACCUUGUAGGGAAGAGUGGACUUCCACUAGCACUCUUUGGGCUCAAUGCUUAUGUGCCCUCUUCAAAGAAUAUGGGAAAGAGAAAACAACCUCAUUGCUGGUGUGAUGCCCACUAUAAUCUCUCCCAGCUGCUCUGGGCUGUAUUCACAACAAAGGAAACUUGACUCUGCACAGCCCUUCAGGCUGGUAACCACUCUCUGGAGCUAUUCAUCUAGGCCAGACCCUGUAGAUGGGAACAGGGGUGGGGGUGGGGUAGAAAAACGGCAGUGGCUAAAGAUGGAAGCUAAUAUGUUGGAAGUUUAUAGAGUCAAGAGUUUUGCUAUCUCAAUCUUUUUUUUGUUUUUGUCCUUUUAGGGCUGCACCCAUGGCAUAUGUAGGUUUCCAGGCUAGGGGUCAAAUCGGAGCUAUAGCCUCUGGCCUAUGCCACAGCCUCAGCCAUGCCAAACCCAAGCCUCAGCUGAGACCUACACCAUAGCUCACGUCAACACUGGAUCCUUAACUCACUGAGUAAGGUCAGGGAUCAAACCUUAACCCACUGAGUAAGGUCAGGGAUCAAACCUGUGUCCUCAUGGUUACCUGUCAGAUUUGUUUCUGCUGAGUCAUGACAGAAACUCCUCAAAUCUUUUCUUCCACAUAUAGGUCAUUGUACUAAAAAAAUCAAAAAUUAUGCAAGAAUAUAAAGUAGAAAGUGGAAGCUCCGGGGCCCAGGAAUAGGAAGGAAUGAAUCAAGAAAGAGGAAGACAGAGAAUGCAGGGAAAGGGCUGACAGGACUCCACCAGAUGACACAGAGAUUCCAGAAUGACAGUUGUGUACCAGCACAGAUAACUACCAGUUCCAACUCCAACUGGUAAAAAGGCUCUAGAAUAAACUUCCUCAGGUACAAUGCAAUGUCUAGAAUAACAUAUAUAAUUAGCAAAGACGUGUGUUAAAUGGUUUCCAAACUGGGGCAUGCAGACAGUGAGAGCAAACAUUAUUAUACUAGGAUGAUGGUCAAAGGGGUAUGAAGAAAAGAAUAUGCAAGAAGGAAAAGGCCAUCAUAAUUUACUACAUGGCAAACCUAUGAAUAUUUCUCAUAGUAAUGUGAAUACCUAGUACUAAUCCAAACAAAAUUACAAUAUGGCUGUGUGGAAAGAUGAGUUCAUGGAAAAGGUGCACAGGUGAGGUGGGAAUUAGGGGAAGAAAGGAAGUAAAUCCUUAUCCUCUACAGUGAGAAACUGAUAGAUAACACAUUAAGCUGAAAAAUAAAGAGGUAUCAGAACAAGCAUGUUAUUUAGAGAGAAAGAGGUAAGCUCAAAAUUUAGAAAUUAAAAUAGGUGGAUAUAGUUUCCUCUUGGGUAAAAAAAAAAAUGGGCAAAGAAGAAACAGGGGAUUGAUGUUUUUUGUGAUUACUUGACUCUUUAUACUUUAUACAUUUAUGUCUUUGAUAUAAGCAAAAAUUAAAAAAAAAAAAGAAAGAAAAG